AGUCACUUGGGAAUAGUUCCUGAUGGCAUUCAAUGCAGAGUACCUCCCAGAGCACCUCAAGUGUUUAAAGGAUAUAGAGUUUGCACACCUAAUACAGGGUGAGAUGACUGUGUCGAAGUAUGCUCGAAGGUUUCUAGAGUUGGGUUGAUAUUCCCCUGAGAGCAUGAUUGAUGAGGGCAGGAAGGCAAGGAAGUUUGAGUGGGGCCUCCACCCUAAGAUCUGGCAAGGAAGGAACCUUCGCAUCUUUUCUCUAGCAUCGGGGAAUCCCAAACCCCUAGUUUCAUACCGCAAACCAACACCCACUGCACCGGUUCAGCAGAAGAAGGGGUCUAGGCUAAUGACUCAGCCUCCUCCUCAGGCUCUAGUAAUAGGCCAUGGUAGGACUUGUUAGUACUGUGGCAAUGAU
rnacentral:lncRNA from 1 species